CAUCACGAAGCUCUUUGUGGACAAGGUACGUGGGCUGGCGGCGAUUUUUGAACUUAUAUUUUCCUUACUUUUUGUGUUUAGUCCACAUGAUUUUCUGGUCCUUUGGUCACUGGUUCGAAGCUCUUUAUUGCAGAGGCCAAACAAUUACUCUCAUAUUUGAAUCAACGGUGAGAAAUGUUGUCAAAGUGACCUCACUCUGGUUCUCAUACAUUCCCAGAGCAUGGUUCUACAGAGGAGAUUCACCAAACGAUAGUCUCGGUAAUCAAUGCUGAUUUAGUUUGUG
rnacentral:lncRNA from 1 species